AAUUCUCAAACCUUGAUCAGUUUUGCGACUGACUUCAAGGCUUUGGAUGUGGGAGUCUGCUGGAACUCUUUUGGUUCAGCUCUCCUCAAAUGCAUUAGCGGUUACUUGAUCCCCUUUCCUUGGUGUGAUAAUUAUCUACGCCUUUGAAAUGAUCAGCAUUGAUUGUAUCAGCUUCUAACCGUCCAUUGACUUGGACAAUUACUUAAUUGACU
rnacentral:misc_RNA from 1 species